UACGUAGGGUGCAAGCGUUGUCCGGAAUUAUUGGGCGUAAAGAGCUCGUAGGCGGUCUGUCGCGUCUGCUGUGAAAAUCAGGGCUCAACCCUGGACCUGCAGUGGGUACGGGCAGACUAGAGUGCGGUAGGGGAGAUCGGAAUUCCUGGUGUAGCGGUGAAAUGCGCAGAUAUCAGGAGGAACACCGGUGGCGAAGGCGGUUCUCUGGGCAUGAUCUGACGCUGAGGAGCGAAAGUGUGGGGAGCGAACAGG
rnacentral:rRNA from 1 species